CGUGUUUAGGUCGGUUUGGAGAAAAUAGCCUGAAAGGGCGCAUCAGCACACUGACGCCGUGAUCCCUGCAGGACGGUCUUCCUAGCGCCCUCCCUGAAACUGUUUUGUCAGCUGCGUGUUUUUCAAACUGUAUUUGUCAAAAUCAGUUUAGUGGGAAGCAGACCACCCCCGCCCCACCCUACCCCACCAAAUGAAAACUGCUGCCCACAAGAACCAUAGGCCGUUGACGAGCUGAAACCAGAAAAUUGAUGAUACUUGAAACUUCAUCUUGAUGCCAACCGAUUUGAGAACUGUCCAUGGAUCAUGCCCCACCCCUUGAAGACUAUAAAAUUCCUCACUAGCCCCCUCCAGGGUGAAUCACACAGUCUUGAGGGCAUUAGCCCAGUGUGGCCCCUUUUGCCUGGCAAAGCAAUAAAAGCUACCCUUUUCUACUUCACCCAAAA